rnacentral:rRNA from 1 species
GGGGAAUAUUGGACAAUGGGGGGACCCCUGAUCCAGCCAUGCCGCGUGUGUGAAGAAGGCCUUAUGGUUGUAAAGCACUUUAAGCGAGGAGGAGGCCCUUUUGGUUAAUACCCAAGAUGAGUGGACGUUACUCGCAGAAUAAGCACCGGCUAACUCUGUGCCAGCAGCCGCGGUAAUACGAAGGGUGCAAGCGUUACUCGGAAUUACUGGGCGUAAAGCGUGCGUAGGUGGUGGUUUAAGUCCGUUGUGAAAGCCCUGGGCUCAACCUGGGAAGUGCAGUGGAUACGGCACCACUAGAGUGGGGCAGAGGGUAGUGGAAUUCCCGGUGUAGAAGUGAAAUGCGUAGAGAUCGGGAGGAACAUCAGUGGCGAAGGCGACUGCCUGGGCCAACACUGACACUGAGGCACGAAAGCGUGGGGAGCAAACA